CCCUUAGAUGCUCUGGGCCGCACGCGCGCUACACUGGUCGAUGCAACGAGUUUCUUUCCUUGGCCGACAGGCCUGGGCAAUCUUUGAACAUCGAUCGUGAUCGGGAUAGAUUCUUGUAAUUUUUGAUCUUAAACGAGGAAUUCCUAGUAAACGCAAGUCAUCAGCUUGCAUUGAUUACGUCCCUGCCCUUUGUACACACCGCCCGUCGCACCUACCGAUUGAAUGGUCCGGUGAAAUCUCCGGACUGGCGUGAGUCGGAGCAAUCUGACAAACACCGAAAAGUUGAUUAAACCUUACCAUUUAGAGGAAGGUGAAGUCGUAACA
rnacentral:rRNA from 1 species